CCUUCCGUAGGGUGAACCUGCUAGGUUAGGGUCAUUAUUGAAUUAUGUUUUCUAGAUGGGUUGUAGCUGGCUUUUCGGAUUAUGUGCCCGCCUGUUUGGAUUUCAUCUUCAUCCCCCUGUGCCCCUUUUGUAGUCUUUUGACAGGUAUUGAAGGAAAGUGGUCAGUGUUAUCAGCAGCGUUCUGCUGGAUUUAAGGGCUUUGCAGUGCGAAAGCACCAGCAUGCCCUUUACUUGGCCAUGGAAUCUCUUUCCUGUCAGAGUGUAUGUCAUUCAUUUAUACCCUUGUAGAAUGUGAUUGAAUGUCUUUACCCAUGGGGUUGUAUGCCUAUGAAAAUUACGAUACACCUUUCAGCAACGGAUCUCUUUGCUCUCGCAUCGAUGAAGAACGCAGCGAAAUGGGAUAAGUAAUGUGAAUUGGAGAAUUCAGUGAAUCAUCGAAUCUUUGAACGCAUCUUGUGUUCUUUGGUAUUCCGAGGAGCACAUGCCUGUUUGAGUGUCAUUAAAUUUUCAACUCUUUUACACUUGACUGUGAGGGGAAGGGCUUGGAUAGUGGAGGUUUGUGCUGGCCACUUUUUGAGGUCAGCUCCUCUGAAAUGCAUUAGCGGAACCGUUUGCGAUCUGCCACAAGUGUGAUAAUUAUCUACACUGGCGAGGGGAUUGCUCUUUGUGUUGUUCAGCUUCUAAUCAUCUCUGCAUAGCGAGAUAAUUGACUGAAUGCUUGACCUCAACUCAGGUAGGACAAAAUAUUACCCCGCUGAACUUAAGCAUAUCAAUAAGGGGCAAAAA
rnacentral:rRNA from 1 species